AGAGUUUGAUCCUGGCUCAGAUUGAACGCUGGCGGCAUGCCUUACACAUGCAAGUCGAACGCGAAAGCGGGGCAACCCGCAAGUAGAGUGGCGAACGGGUGAGUAAUACAUCGGAACAUAUCCAGUAGCGGGGGAUAACCUGUCGAAAGAUAGGCUAAUACCGCAUACAAUCUACGGAUGAAAGCAGGAGACCGCAGGCCCUUGCACUAUUGGAGUGGCCGAUGUCAGAUUAGCUAGUUGGUGGGGUAAAAGCCUACCAAGGCGACUGAUCUGUAGCUGCUCUGAGAGGACGAUCAGCACACUGGACUGAGACACGCUC
rnacentral:rRNA from 1 species